rfam:Bacteroides coprosuis DSM 18011 chromosome, whole genome shotgun sequence.
UAAGGUGACUAUAGCACAAGGGUUCCACCUCUUCCCAUUCCGAACAGAGAAGUUAAGCCUUGUCACGCCGAUGGUACUGCAUAACCGUGGGAGAGUAGGUAGUCGCCGUUU